AGUGAACGCUGGCGGUAGGCCUAAUACAUGCAAGUCGAACGGCAGCACAGUAAGAGCUUGCUCCUACGGGUGGCGAGUGGCGGACGGGUGAGGAAUACAUCGGAAUCUACUUUUUCGUGGGGGAUAACGUAGGGAAACUUACGCUAAUACCGCAUACUAUCUACGGGUGAAAUCAGGGGUGCUUCGCACCUUGCGCGACUGAAUGAGCCGAUGUCGCAUUAGCUAGUUGGCGGGGUAAGGGCCCACCAAGGCAACGAUCCGUAGCUGGUCUGAGAGGAUGAUCAGCCACACUGGAACUGAGGCACGGUCCAGACUCCUACGGGAGGCAGCAGUAGGGAAUAUUGGGCAAUGGGCGAAAGCCUGAUCCAGCCAUGCCGCGUGAGUGAAGAAGGCCUUCGGGUUGUAAAGCCCUGUUGUUAGGGAAGAAAAGCUGCGGGUUAAUACGCCGCCGUCCUGACGGUACCCAAAGAAUAAGCACCGGCUAACUUCGUG
rnacentral:rRNA from 1 species